rnacentral:ncRNA from 2 species
AUCUAGUUAUAUAACUGACGGAAGUGGAAGUGACCACAGGGAGUAUAACAGUUUGACAGCCGACCGUCUGGGCAGAAAAG